rnacentral:rRNA from 1 species
UACGUAGGGACCGAGCGUUGUCCGGAAUCAUUGGGCGUAAAGAGCGUGUAGGCGGCCACUUAAGUCCUGCGUGAAAUCCUGCGGCUCAACCGCAGGCGGUCGUGGGAAACUGGGUGGCUAGAGUGCGGGAGAGGAGAGUGGAAUUCCUGGUGUAGCGGUGGAAUGCGCAGAUAUCGGGGAAGAACACCCGUGGCGAAGGCGGUUCUCUGGGACGGUACUGACGCUGAGACGCGAAAGCGUGGGGAGCGAACAGG